GGCGUGCCUAAUACAUGCAAGUCGUGCGGUUUGAGAGGAGCUUGCUCCUUGAUGACAGCGGCGGACGGGUGAGUAACACGUGGGCAAUCUGCCCGACAGACUGGGAUAACGCUUGGAAACGAGUGCUAAUACCAGAUAGUCUUUUGAACUGCAUGGUUCGAAAGGGAAAGGAGCUAUCGCUCCACUGUCGGAUGAGCCCGCGGCGCAUUAGCUAGUUGGUGAGGUAACGGCUCACCAAGGCGACGAUGCGUAGCCGACCUGAGAGGGUGACCGGCCACACUGGGACUGAGACACGGCCCAGACUCCUACGGGAGGCAGCAGUAGGGAAUCUUCCGCAAUGGGCGCAAGCCUGACGGAGCAACGCCGCGUGAAUGAUGAAGGCCUUCGGGUUGUAAAAUUCUGUCUUCUGUGAAGAACAAGUGUGAGAGUGGAAAGCUCACACCCUGACGGUAACAGGGGAGGAAGCCCCGGCUAACUACGUGCCAGCCGCCGCGGUAA
rnacentral:rRNA from 1 species